rnacentral:tRNA from 1 species
GGGGUAAUAUCUCAGUGGUAGAGUGCAUGCUUAGCAUGCACAAGGUCCUGGGUUAAAUCUCCAGUACCUCCA